UACGUAGGUGGCAAGCGUUGUCCGGAAUUAUUGGGCGUAAAGAGCGCGCAGGUGGUUAAUUAAGUCUGAUGUGAAAGCCCACGGCUUAACCGUGGAGGGUCAUUGGAAACUGGUUGACUUGAGUGCAGAAGAGGGAAGUGGAAUUCCAUGUGUAGCGGUGAAAUGCGUAGAGAUAUGGAGGAACACCAGUGGCGAAGGCGGCUUCCUGGUCUGCAACUGACACUGAGGCGCGAAAGCGUGGGGAGCAAACAGG
rnacentral:rRNA from 1 species